rnacentral:lncRNA from 1 species
GCAGCAUAAAUCCGACUCCAUCCUAAAGGUUUAAUUUUUUAGGACCAGCUAUGAUAAAUUCACUCUGAAAAAUAUUGAACCUAUACCGUUUAGCACAACCCCACCUCUACUUAAAUUAGAGCUAGCAGCACGAGUUGUACCAAACUACGCAUGCACACACAUGAACGUAGCUUUAAAAAGGUGGAUAUGUAUACAACCCAAUGAAUUGUAUGUUGGUGCUCUUGUAGGCUAACUAUACCUCAUCGGAAUGGAAGGCAUGAGGGACUUGGGACACACAAAAUGAGACGUGGCUGUAUGGAUC